CGACACCUCCUAUGCCACUCAUUUUCUUCUUAUCCUUUCACCUAAGGAGGCCGUAACAACUAACAACACAGAGCGCCGCUCGAAGCUUCUUUCUUUGGUGGCCCGAACUCCACUACUCCCAUGUCCCAUCCGAUUUAGCUUCGCUGGAGGUCACGGCGGCCGAUUCUGCUUUGGCACGGCUUGCAUAGUCCGCCGCCAAUCGCUGUUUGCUCGGUGCUCCCCCUUCGUUCAAUCUCUCAGCGGAUUUCUUCCGAAUCACCACCGGCGUGUAUUUUUUUGCAAUUUCUCCUUUGAAUCGAUUUCUUCAGCUUUCCUUCCUUCCUCCCUCUUCAAUUUGUUGUUUCCUUACUCAUUUCACCAGCCCUAGCAAUUCCUCUUUUAAAUCCGCUCCCACAUUACAUCUACAAUGAUGUUGCUGGUAAUUGCUUGUUUCAAUCCAGAAAACGUACGAAUAUAAAGUGGUGGGAUUUCUUAUACGGGAGCGAGUCCGCAGACUAACCCAGGAACGACGCCCAGAGAGCCUGCCACCCCGAUGCGCACCACCGCCAGUUUCGUUCCCCAAGGAUUUUUUCCUGCAACCCGAAAUUUUCUACUUGGACAAUGUUGUCGGACGGGUUGGUGAGGCCUCCGGUUUGAAGAUGAUGUGUGUAAGGGCACAGUCCUGGACACCCCUCUCAUCAAGUUUGUAGGUGUUGCGACAUGUAUCACAUGUGAAAUGGCUUCGAGAGUAUCAUUUUUUUAUUUUUUUUGUUGAAUAGUAUUAAAAAUAGAAUUGUACCCAUCAUUUAGGCACAGAGCAGCCAGGGGUUCAACCUCCUUUUCAAAAAAGAAGACAAAAGAAACAGAGUACCUAGAGAAAACAGGCUAUGAGAGGCUGUCAGGUUAUAUCAAACGUUAUGGUAUUUUUCUUUUUGAAAAGGAAAUUGUAUUCCACUAAACUUGUUGCCCAUCAAUAUCGCUGGCAACCAAAGCGAUUACAAA